GCUGACGAGUGGCGGACGGGUGAGUAAUGUCUGGGAAACUGCCUGAUGGAGGGGGAUAACUACUGGAAACGGUAGCUAAUACCGCAUAACGUCGCAAGACCAAAGAGGGGGACCUUCGGGCCUCUUGCCAUCGGAUGUGCCCAGAUGGGAUUAGCUAGUAGGUGGGGUAACGGCUCACCUAGGCGACGAUCCCUAGCUGGUCUGAGAGGAUGACCAGCCACACUGGAACUGAGACACGGUCCAGACUCCUACGGGAGGCAGCAGUGGGGAAUAUUGCACAAUGGGCGCAAGCCUGAUGCAGCCAUGCCGCGUGUAUGAAGAAGGCCUUCGGGUUGUAAAGUACUUUCAGCGGGGAGGAAGGGAGUAAAGUUAAUACCUUUGCUCAUUGACGUUACCCGCAGAAGAAGCACCGGCUAACUCCGUGCCAGCAGCCGCGGUAAUACGGAGGGUGCAAGCGUUAAUCGGAAUUACUGGGCGUAAAGCGCACGCAGGCGGUUUGUUAAGUCAGAUGUGAAAUCCCCGGGCUCAACCUGGGAACUGCAUCUGAUACUGGCAAGCUUGAGUCUCGUAGAGGGGGGUAGAAUUCCAGGUGUAGCGGUGAAAUGCGUAGAGAUCUGGAGGAAUACCGGUGGCGAAGGCGGCCCCCUGGACGAAGACUGACGCUCAGGUGCGAAAGCGUGGGGAGCAAACAGGAUUAG
rnacentral:rRNA from 1 species